GAUGAACGCUAGCUACAGGCUUAACACAUGCAAGUCGCGGGGCAGCAUGGGGGUUGCUUGCAAUCCCCGAUGGCGACCGGCGCACGGGUGAGUAACGCGUAUCCAACCUGCCCUUCACCACGGGAUAACCCGGCGAAAGUCGGACUAAUACCGUAUGUUGUCCAUUGACGGCAUCCGAUUUGGAUGAAAGGCUUGGCGGUGAGGGAUGGGGAUGCGUCCGAUUAGCCAGACGGCGGGGUAACGGCCCACCGUGGCUACGAUCGGUAGGGGUUCUGAGAGGAAGGUCCCCCACACUGGAACUGAGACACGGUCCAGACUCCUACGGGAGGCAGCAGUGAGGAAUAUUGGUCAAUGGGCGUAAGCCUGAACCAGCCAAGUAGCGUGCAGGAUGACGGCCCUAUGGGUUGUAAACUGCUUUUAUGCGGGGAUAAAGUGGCCCACGUGUGGGCUUUUGCAGGUACCGCAUGAAUAAGGACCGGCUAACUCCGUG
rnacentral:rRNA from 1 species